UGACUGUAAUAUUAACCACAUUCUGAGACGGGCCGUCGGGCAGCCGGGUCUGGCUGAAAAUGCUAUCCCGACACCGGUGAGCUAUCCUCGCUCCGAUCACAUCAAGCGAUCUGGACCGUUGCGCCUUUUUCAAACAGUGUCCGAUCGGAGCGGGACCAGUCUUAUCUCGAAGAUCUCAUCGUCCUGAGUCCAUCAGUGGCCUCGGAUUUCCGAUCCGACGGUCGGAUCGCCGGAAAAGUGACCGGAAACCGAGAAACCCAUAUAAUUUUCUUCCAACUUUCCCUCGCCGGUUCUCUUUCCUCCGGCCACCAAAUGAGGUGCCACUGGUCUCAUCUGAAAGUUCAUCAUCUUGGGAGUCCGUUGCACUUGAAAUCACCGGAAAUGGCCGCCGGAGUCGGCCGAGGCGACGCCGCGAAGUCGGGCCCAUGUCGCGCGCUCUCCCUCUCUCCUCUCUUUCCUCUCUCCUUCUCUCUCUUUCUGCUGUCUCCUGCUCGCUGCUGCCGUCGCCUGGCAGUUGUUCCAGCACGGGGGAAGGCCGACGGUACCUCGCCGGCGCUGAUGCUGGCCGGUUGGACGAAAAUGGGAGGGAGAAAGCGAGGGGGGAGAGUGGAGUCGGGGAGAGAGAAAUGGGGUGGGGGAGUGCUGCGUUUUUUUCUUUGUUUCUGCAGUUUUUUUUUUUUUUUUUUUUUUUU
rnacentral:misc_RNA from 1 species